rnacentral:rRNA from 1 species
GAGUUUGAUCCUGGCUCAGAACGAACGUUGGCGGCGUGGAUUAGGCAUGCAAGUCGAACGAGAAAACACCCUUCGGGGUGCGAGUAAAGUGGCGAACGGGUGAGUAACGCGUGGGGAACCUACCCUUGAGUGGGGGAUAACGCUCCUAACGGGGCGCUAAUACCGCAUGACACCGGAGGCAGGCAUCUGCUUCUGGUCGAAGAUGGCCUCUGACUCAAGCUGUCGCUUAAGGAUGGCCCCGCGUCCGAUUAGCUUGUUGGUGGGGUAACGGCCCACCAAGGCGACGAUCGGUAGCCGGCCUGAGAGGGUGUCCGGCCACACUGGGACUGAGAUACGGCCCAGACUCCUACGGGAGGCAGCAGUCGAGAGGCUUCCACAAUGGGGGAAACCCUGAUGGAGCGACGCCGCGUGGGUGAGGAAGGUCUUCGGAUCGUAAAACCCUGUCAGGAGGGAAGAAAACCGGAUUGGUUAAUACCCUUUCCGUUUGACGGUACCUCCAGAGGAAGCUCCGGCUAACUCCGUGCCAGCAGCCGCGGUAACACGGAGGGAGCAAACGUUGCUCGGAAUCACUGGGCGUAAAGCGCACGUAGGCGGAUUGCUAAGUCAGGGGUGAAAUCCUGGAGCUCAACUCCAGAACUGCCCUU